GGAUGAGAGGGGGAUGAUGAGAGGGAGGAGUAACAAAAAUGAAAACAAAAUCUUGAAAGUGAAAACAAUUUGAAAUAGAUUUCAGUUUUUAGUUUUUGUUUUCACUUUUGUUACUUCUCCCUCCCAUCCUCUCCUCUCAUCUUC
rnacentral:miRNA from 1 species